GAGCAAAACUCCACCUCAAAAACAAACAAACAAAACAAAACAAAACAAAAAACAACCGUAUGGUAAGCCAGAGAAGCCUGACUCUGUGAUCCUAUUUAGUUUAGUUCAAGAAUAGGUAAAACUAGCGGAUGGAGGCAGAAAUCAGAACACUGGUUAUCUCUGGAGUUUGAUGCCCUGAGGCAUCCCUGGAGGAACAAGGAGGAACUUUCUACAGUGGCAAUGGUCUAUAAAUCUGAAGCUUUUUGAGUCUCAAGAAAACACAAGUGUAAAAUUCCGUACCUGACCUCAUGUGAUAGAUGGCAGUCAAAAUUUUGUUUCAUGAACAAAAUUAUUAAGAAAUAUCUUAAAAUAAUUACUUUUGAGGCAAUGUGUGUAAGAAACAUAAAUGAAUUUCAUGUUUAGACUUGGGUCCUAUCCCUGAGAUACUUCAUUAUGUAUAUGCCAAUAUUCCAAAUC